rnacentral:rRNA from 1 species
CCUACGGGCGGCAGCAGUCGAGAAUCAUUCACAAUGGGGGAAACCCUGAUGGUGCGACGCCGCGUGGGGGAAUGAAGGUCUUCGGAUUGUAAACCCCUGUCAUGUGGGAGCAAAUUAAGAAGAUAGUACCACAAGAGGAAGAGACGGCUAACUCUGUGCAAGCAGCCGCGGUACUACAGAGGUCUCAAGCGUUGUUCGGAAUCACUGGGCGUAAAGCGUGCGUAGGCAGUUUCGUAAGUCGUGUGUGAAAGUCGCGGGCUCAACCCGCGGAUGGCAAAUGAUACUGGGAGACUAGAGUAAUGGAGGGGGAACCGGAAUUCUCGGUGUAGAAGUGAAAUGCGUAGAUAUCGAGAGGAACACUCGUGGCGAAGGCGGGUUCCUGGACAUUAACUGACGCUGAGGCACGAAGGCCAGGGGAGCGAAAGGGAUUAGAUACCCGAGUAGUC